GUCCCCAGCACGCUGACCAGCAUUCCCGGACUGGGGCUGCCUCAGAGGACACAUCAAUGACUCCAGCCAUUUUGCGGCCUCUCAUUUUUGGAAAGUGUUUCUUCAGUGUAAGCAGAGCCUGCUUUCUAGGCAUGUCUGAGCGCCCACCUCAUGGCCCUAUAAUCCUCACUAUCCUGGAACUUGCGGCGGGCCGGUGCACGAGGAGGAGCAGGGCAGAGAGACGCAACGGCUCCACCACCCACAACAUGUCCACGAGAAGACGCAUCUCGACACCCGUGAAUCUGGGCUCCGAGCCCCCUGGAUUGGGGAGACACAGUGUGGCUCCUGGUUAGUGGCAUUUGGCAAUGAUUACACAAAUAUUCAAAAGGCUUCCGAGGGUUCAUUCUCAACCUCCUUGCCCCAAUCCUAUUUUUCCUACAACGUCUUAAAUUUCUGAAACCCCAGCCCUCCUACACUGGAAGUUUUCCUCCUGCCUGAAGAGAGCCUACUAUGUACGUGAUGUGCUCCUGGUGGGCCGAAACUGUGCUUUUCCAUCUCUGGAAUCCCUAGCAGGCUAAGCCUGGAAUGGGCAAACAGGCCUCCAGUGUCAUCUUGUGUAAGAACAGCAAUAGAAGACAUCUGUGUCUUUUCCUUGACAUCAAAGGAAAUCCUGUUAAACUUCAAACAUUAAUUAAGAAAGAGUGUUGAAUUUUAUUGAAUAUUUUCUGCAUCUACUGAGAUGAUCAUGUGUUUUCUCUUUUAAUCUAAUAAGUGGUCACUUACACUGAUAUAUCUUCUGCUAUUGAGUGACACAUUCCUGGGAUAAACCCUAUUUGGCAAAGACAUAUGAUUGCUUUUAAACACCUCUGAAUUUGAUUUGCUUUGGUAUUUUACAUCUAUGUUCAUAAAUAACAUUGUCAUGUGAUUUUCUUCCUUUCUUCCUUCUUUCUUCUUUUUUGUCCUACGUUUUUCUAUUAUCCUAUUAUCUUUGUCCAGGUUGAAUAUCAAGCUUAAACCAGCUGUAUUCAAUGACUUAGUUAGCUUUCUCUAACUUUCUAUCCUCUCAAACAGUUUGUUUGAUUAUGGACUUAAGUACUGCUUCAAUUUAUUUAAUAAUGAUUACAAGUCCCUUAAAGUUAGCACAUUUCCUUGAGUCAAUUUUGGUAAUUAUCUAUUUAUUUAAGUUUUCAAGUUUAAUGGCAUAAAGUUGUCC
rnacentral:lncRNA from 1 species